UACGUAGGGCGCGAGCGUUGUCCGGAAUCAUUGGGCGUAAAGAGCUCGUAGGCGGCCGGUUGCGUCUGCUGUGAAAUCCCGGGGCUUAACCCCGGGCGUGCAGUGGAUACGGGCUGACUGGAGUACUGCAGGGGAGACUGGAAUUCCUGGUGUAGCGGUGGGAUGCGCAGAUAUCAGGAGGAACACCGGUGGCGAAGGCGGGUCUCUGGGCAGUAACUGACGCUGAGGAGCGAAAGCGUGGGGAGCGAACAGG
rnacentral:rRNA from 1 species